GAUGAACGCUGGCGGCGUGCCUAAUACAUGCAAGUCGAGCGAACAGACGAGGAGCUUGCUCCUCUGACGUUAGCGGCGGACGGGUGAGUAACACGUGGAUAACCUACCUAUAAGACUGGGAUAACUUCGGGAAACCGGAGCUAAUACCGGAUAAUAUAUUGAACCGCAUUGUUCAAUAGUGAAAUACGGUUUUUCUUUCGCUUCUAGUCGUAUCCGAUCGGCAUUAGCUAGUUGGUAAGGUAAGGGCUUACCAAGGAAACGAUGCGAGGCCGACCUGGGAGGGUGAUCGGCCACACUAGAACUGAGACACGGUCCAGACUCCUACGGGAGGCAGCAGUAGGGAAUCUUCCGCAAUGGGCGAAAGCCUGACGGAGCAACGCCGCGUGAGUGAUGAAGGUCUUCGGAUCGUAAAACUCUGUUAUUAGGGAAGAACAAAUGUGUAAGUAAAUAUGCACGUCUUGACGGUACCUAAUCAGAAAGCCACGGCUAACUACGUG
rnacentral:rRNA from 1 species